UAUUACAUAUUUCGUCAUUUUGUCAUUAUGAGUGAGCAAGAAGCCAAAAGGCAGCGCAUCUUAGAUCUUCUAGAUGCUGAAGUUGAGAUGACGAGGAUUAUGGACAUUGUGAAGUGCUCUAGGUGUCUGAUUUUUAAGGUGGACAAGAAGAAGAAUGAUGGAGAAUACAUUUCCAGGAAAGAAGGAAGUGUAGGGCACAAUUGAACGAGGGAUCCAGAGUUCAUGUCCAGCUUUGAGAAGCAGAUGAAGGAGGAUCUGACCAAACCUCGCCAACGACUUCUCCAUGGCUGUAAGGAUCAUCAGGAGUGCUGUGAGGGGCAAUUUGUGAUUGUUUUCCUUACAUGAGGUGCCCAACCCACCUUCUGACAGGGGUUAUGAGGCCCAGGAGGCUCAAGAGUCCAUGUUUUGCUGCACAACUCAGUAUAUCCAUCCAAAUAUAAUUAUAUUUUUUCCCCUUCUUCUAAUGCUAUUUUAAAUGUUGAAGGAUCUUCUCUUUACAGCAGUAAGUCAUUUUAUCCCCCUAAAAUCCUAUAAAAGGCAUCUGAUGUUAACCAGGAUAAUUAUCAGAGAUGCAUAAAACAUGUCCUGCCGGAGAGCAGCUUAGCUGUUAUGGUUGUUUAUUAAAUCAGCUGUAAGUAGGUGCAAAGAGCUGCAAGAGGAAAGUAAUCAACACAAAUCGGACUCCGUAUCUAGUAAUGACAUGGAUAGGAAAUACUUCCAUGUCAAUCCUCAGCUACUCCAACAAAAACGUACUAUUAUAAAUCCCAAGUGAACCCGCAUAGUCUGAGGAAGUCCAGGGCACCUUCAGGACAAAACAUCCGCCCUAAACAAUGUGCUUAGGAGUUGUGGCCUCUGAUAGGAAGAAAAUGGAUCCCUUCUUUUUCAAAUGCAAUGAGAAAAUUGGAUCUGAGGCCUACUAUAAGGUCCUGAUGUGGAAAACCUUGCCCUGGCUGAAGGCUAACUAUCAUAUGGACCCAAGAUAGUGCCCCCACCCAUACAGACUUGAAAACAGAUAACUUUUGCAAAGAUAACUUUGCUGACUUCUGGGACAAGACAUUCUGGCACUCUUCCAGUCCUGAUCUCAAUCAGUGUGGGAAGCGUCUUAGAAAGUUGGGAAGACAUCACAUAGAAAUAUGCAAGAGCUCAAGGCCAGUAUCAAGAAGCAAUGGGUCAACAUGUCCGCCGAUUAUAUAGCAUGUGCCAAGUUCCGGCAUCGUGUGGAGUCUGUGAUAGAGGCUGGAGGCGGCCAUAUUUAAUCAUUCUUGCAAAGAUUGAUUGCUUAUAGUUUUUCAAUAACAUUUUUGAUUAUACUUUUCUAAUAAAAAUUUGUUAAGGUUUUGAUUUUGUUUCUGCAUGGUGGAAAAUUUCCCUGCCGCACUCUGUAUAUAUUUCAAAACUUUGCAUAAAAUUUCAUUUGUCAAA
rnacentral:lncRNA from 1 species